AGAUUGAACGCUGGCGGCAGGCCUAACACAUGCAAGUCGAGCGGUAGAGAGGUGCUUGCACCUCUUGAGAGCGGCGGACGGGUGAGUAAAGCCUAGGAAUCUGCCUGGUAGUGGGGGAUAACGCUCGGAAACGGACGCUAAUACCGCAUACGUCCUACGGGAGAAAGCAGGGGACCUUCGGGCCUUGCGCUAUCAGAUGAGCCUAGGUCGGAUUAGCUAGUUGGUGAGGUAAUGGCUCACCAAGGCGACGAUCCGUAACUGGUCUGAGAGGAUGAUCAGUCACACUGGAACUGAGACACGG
rnacentral:rRNA from 1 species